rnacentral:rRNA from 1 species
UACGGAGGGUGCGAGCGUUGUCCGGAAUCACUGGGCGUAAAGGGCGCGUAGGUGGUAACUUAAGCGUGUGGUGAAAGCCCGGGGCUCAACCUCGGGUCGGCCAUGCGAACUGGGUCACUUGAGCACUGUAGAGGCAGGUGGAAUUCCGGGUGUAGCGGUGGAAUGCGUAGAGAUCCGGAAGAACACCGGUGGCGAAGGCGGCCUGCUGGGCAGUUGCUGACACUGAGGCGCGACAGCGUGGGGAGCAAACAGG